rnacentral:rRNA from 1 species
CUAGCGGCAGGCUAACACAUGCAAGGUCGAGGGGCAACGCGAGUAGCAAUACUUGGCGGCGACCGGCGCAAGGGUGCGUAACGCGUGAGCAACAUGCCCGUAUCAGGGGGAUAAUCCAGGGAAACUUGGUCUAAUACCCCAUAGUAAUUUUGUAAGGCAUCUUAUAAGAUUUAAAGCUUUGGUGGAUACGGAUUGGCUCGCGUGACAUUAGCUGGAUGGUAAGGUAACGGCUUACCAUGGCUAUGAUGUCUAGGGGUUCUGAGAGGAAGGUCCCCCACACUGGAACUGAGACACGGUCCAGACUCCUACGGGAGGCAGCAGUGAGGAAUAUUGGACAAUGGAUGGAAAUCUGAUCCAGCCAUGCCGCGUGAAAAGGAAGAAGGUCCUAUGGAUUGUAAACUUCUUUUGUAUGGGAGCAAUAAGGCCUACGUGUAGGUUGAUGAGAGUACCAUACGAAUAAGCACCGGCUAACUCCGUGCCAGCCGCGGC